rnacentral:rRNA from 1 species
UACGUAGGUGGCAAGCGUUGUCCGGAAUUAUUGGGCGUAAAGCGCGCGCAGGCGGUCCUUUAAGUCUGAUGGGAAAGCCCACGGCUCAACCGUGGAGGGUCAUUGGAAACUGGGGGACUUGAGUACAGAAGAGAAGAGUGGAAUUCCACGUGUAGCGGUGAAAUGCGUAGAGAUGUGGAGGAACACCAGUGGCGAAGGCGACUCUUUGGUCUGUAACUGACGCUGAGGAACGAAAGCUAGGGGAGCAAACAGG